rnacentral:rRNA from 1 species
UACGUAGGGUGCAAGCGUUGUCCGGAAUUAUUGGGCGUAAAGAGCUUGUAGGCGGUUUGUCGCGUCUGCUGUUGAAAUUUCGGGGCUCAACCCCGAACUUGCAGUGGGUACGGGCAGACUAGAGUGUGGUAGGGGAGACUGGAAUUCCUGGUGUAGCGGUGAAAUGCGCAGAUAUCAGGAGGAACACCGAUGGCGAAGGCAGGUCUCUGGGCCAUAACUGACGCUGAGAAGCGAAAGCAUGGGGGAGCGAACAGG